rnacentral:rRNA from 1 species
UACGGGGGGGGCAAGCGUUGUUCGGAAUUACUGGGCGUAAAGGGCUCGUAGGCGGCCAACUAAGUCAGACGUGAAAUCCCCGGGCUUAACCUGGGAACUGCACUUGAAACUACGAUGCUGGAGUAUGGCAGAGGGAGGUGGAAUUCCACGUGUAGCGGUGAAAUGCGUAGAGAUGUGGAGGAACACCGAUGGCGAAGGCAGCCUCCUGGGCCAAUACUGACGCUCAUGCACGAAAGCGUGGGGAGCAAACAGG